UCAGGAUGAACGCUGGCGGCGUGCCUAAUACAUGCAAGUAGAACGCUGAAGCUUGGUGCUUGCACCGAGCGGAUGAGUUGCGAACGGGUGAGUAACGCGUAGGUAACCUGCCUCUUAGCGGGGGAUAACUAUUGGAAACGAUAGCUAAUACCGCAUAAAAGUCGAUAUCGCAUGAUAUUGAUUUGAAAGGUGCAAUUGCAUCACUAAGAGAUGGACCUGCGUUGUAUUAGCUAGUUGGUGAGGUAACGGCUCACCAAGGCGACGAUACAUAGCCGACCUGAGAGGGUGAUCGGCCACACUGGGACUGAGACACGGCCCAGACUCCUACGGGAGGCAGCAGUAGGGAAUCUUCGGCAAUGGACGGAAGUCUGACCGAGCAACGCCGCGUGAGUGAAGAAGGUUUUCGGAUCGUAAAGCUCUGUUGUAAGAGAAGAACGAGUGUGAGAGUGGAAAGUUCACACUGUGACGGUAACUUACCAGAAAGGGACGGCUAACUACGUGCCAGCAGCCGCGGUAAUACGUAGGUCCCGAGCGUUAUCCGGAUUUAUUGGGCGUAAAGCGAGCGCAGGCGGUUAGAUAAGUCUGAAGUUAAAGGCUGUGGCUUAACCAUAGUACGCUUUGGAAACUGUUUAACUUGAGUGCAGAAGGGGAGAGUGGAAUUCCAUGUGUAGCGGUGAAAUGCGUAGAUAUAUGGAGGAACACCGGUGGCGAAAGCGGCUCUCUG
rnacentral:rRNA from 1 species